rnacentral:tRNA from 4 species
CUGUGUGUAGCUCAGUCUGGUCAGAGUACCGCACUUGGACUGCGGGAGCCGCUGGUUCGAAUCCAGCCACGCAGACCA